rnacentral:rRNA from 1 species
UGGGGAAUAUUGCACAAUGGGCGCAAGCCUGAUGCAGCCAUGCCGCGUGUGUGAAGAAGGCCUUCGGGUUGUAAAGCACUUUCAGCGGGGAGGAAGGCGUUAAGGUUAAUAACCUUGGCGAUUGACGUUACCCGCAGAAGAAGCACCGGCUAACUCCGUGCCAGCAGCCGCGGUAAUACGGAGGGUGCAAGCGUUAAUCGGAAUUACUGGGCGUAAAGCGCACGCAGGCGGUCUGUCAAGUCGGAUGUGAAAUCCCCGGGCUCAACCUGGGAACUGCAUUCGAAACUGGCAGGCUAGAGUCUUGUAGAGGGGGGUAGAAUUCCAGGUGUAGCGGUGAAAUGCGUAGAGAUCUGUAGGAAUACCGGUGGCGAAGGCGGCCCCCUGGACAAAGACUGACGCUCAGGUGCGAAAGCGUGGGGAGCAAACAGG